AGUGGAAUUGCUGGGUCAUAUGGUAACUUUUUGAGAAACUGUCAAGCUGUUUUCCACAGUGGCUGUAUCAUUUUGAAUUCCCAUCAGCAAU
rnacentral:pre_miRNA from 1 species